rnacentral:rRNA from 1 species
UCGCCAUUGGAUGGGCCCGCGUCGGAUUAGCUAGUUGGUGAGGUAACGGCUCACCAAGGCAACGAUCCGUAGCUGGUCUGAGAGGAUGAUCAGCCACACUGGGACUGAGACACGGCCCAG